rnacentral:lncRNA from 1 species
UCAAACCAGAACGGCUCUUAGACAGCUAAUGACAUUCGGGGAUUCUUCAACAUGAUUGUAUCUCCUACCACAAAUUUGCCAUGUUUAAAUAUGUUACUUCCCCGGCGCUCUAUGAGAAAAUGGUCAUCCUACGUCACGGCCUAGGGGUCAACUUAACUUGUGCAGCUCUCUUGAUGAGAUUUUGAGUUUUGUUUGAUCAUCACCAUAAUUUGUGCAAGGAUUUUUGGUAAAUAUAGUCGAGGCCACUGGAAUGAAAUGUCUAUCAAUCACAUACCUAAUGUUCUUGGAAAAGGAAAUUGCAGUUUAUAAUAUAUCAUUCUUUAGACUAUGUACAUCUGAAAUAUGCCUGAAGGCUAACUAUGCUUUCCUAGCACUUUCUGUUAUUCUGGAAUUUUGAUUCAUCAGCAUGUGGGGAGCUACAACACAAUGUAAUUCUAGCUGAACCCCCAUAGGCUAUGCUAUUAGCAUGUAAACAGUAGUGACUGUGUAUUUGUAAGCAGGGAUGGGUAAUGGGUCGGAUUCGGGUUGGAUCUUGCUAGAUCCCAUUUUUUCCAUCCAUCGGCCUAAGAAAAUGAGACCCAAGUCCAGAUCCUCCACAUUCUCGGAUUUGGAUCCGAAUAAAUAAUUUUCUCCCGAAAAUGAAAUGUUUCUUGUAAUCUUGUUUCCACUGUUUGUAGUUUCCAAUGAAAGAGAAAAAUAACUCUAGUUUUUAUUAUAUAAGUUCAGUUGAAAAUAGAGGAUUAGAAUUAUAAAGUUUUUUGUUUUUGAAGCGAGAAUUAUAAAGUUAGAUGAACACUAAAAAAUGACAUAUAUAAAUAGGUUUGCGUGGGUUGGAUUCAGACCAGCUUCAUUUUUCNUUAUUUAUAAAAUUAAUGAUCCUAAUAACAAUUUAUGAAGUAUUAGAAUAAAAAUAAAUAUCUAAACAAAAAAGAUAAUGUUAACGAGAGCUAAACACGAGUGGUGCUCACAUAAGGUGCUCACACAAGGUAUGUAGCAUAACAUUCCUCAGGUUUUAAUAUAUAUAUAUAUAUAUUUUAUAUAUUUAUGAAUAAAAUAUCAAUAUUUUCAAACUUGAUAGGUUAGGUACUUAGGUUACAGAUGAAAGUCAUUUACAAUAACUUUUGUAGUGGGUGCUUUAGAAGGAGGAAAUAUAAUGUUAUAUAAAAUUGAAGAAAUACUAUUAUUAUAGGAUUAGAAGUUAGAAUACUAUUUUCGUGAUCUUUCGUGUCAACAAGUGCUUUAGAGUAUCACCAGGAAGGGUAAUGUACAUAUCUGAAUUCCUAGUAUUUUAUGUGAUACAUAUUAUUUUACAAAAAAAAAAAAAUCUUAAAUAUUUUCACGAUAUAUCUCUGUUAAUAAUUACUUUUACAAUUUAAUUUUUAUUAGUUAAAUCGAGUAAAAAAAAUAUAAAUAAUGGGAAAAUAGUUGUUAGGUAUCUGUUAAGAAAUAUAAAACAAAAAUAAAUAACUGCACCAAUUUUGUGCAUGGUGGAUGAUGCAACACACGAAAAAAAAUUGGUGCACUGUUGGAGAUGCUCUAAACAGAAAAAUCUGGUCUAUAUACUGGGCAAAAGCCCAUGGCUGCAUGUUUGAAAUUUCACCUGACUUAGAGGGUGCUUUUACUUAGAGGGUGUUCUUCUGAUCUUAUAAGAGCUAAUAAGCUCUUGAGAAAUGUUUGGCAAAAAUUAAUUCUUGAAUAGUGUCUAAGCUGUGAAAAUAAGCUCGAACAACUUAUAAACUCUCCAAAAUAAGUUCCUGAACACCAACUUAUUUUUUCAUAGUCUUGUGAGAAACAAUCAAUUUGUAAAAAUAACCAUGCUUCAUCUCUCUUCAAUUUUCACUCUCCUAAAAUAAUCUUAGCUGAACUCCCUCUUGAAACAUAUGUUGAUUUCUGUGUUGGCUCUGUCUUUCGUACUAUAUAAACCAUGAACAGAUUUCUUCCCAUCUAGGGUAUGUUUGUCCUCAGCAACGUGGCUUCUGGGAAUGAGCACCACAGGGAAGCAGUAAUGAGUGAACUUUUUGGUCAGGCAGGCGAUAAUACAGAGCCAAUAUUGGUCAGAUUUUUGCAGAGUAGUAACAGCCGAUUACGUACAGCUGCUGUUUGGGCUAUUGUAAAUCUUACUCAUCCGAGCAGUCCAGGUGCAUGUGGUAGGGUUACGGAAUUCUGGAAUGCAGGAAUAGUAGCUCAACUAAAGAAUAUGGUGAAUGACCCUUGUCUGGAUGUUAAGGUGACUAAUAAACUAUCCUGGUAAAGUAAUAUUUCAAUUCUCCUGUUAGCUAAGUUAUUUACUUAUUUUCCUGUUGCAGCUUCAAACCAGAACGGCUCUUAGACAGCUAAUGACAUUCGGGGAUUCUUCAACAUGAUUGUAUCUCCUACCACAAAUUUGCCAUGUUUAAAUAUGUUACUUCCCCAGCGCUCUAUGAGAAAAUGGUCAUCCUACGUCACGGCCUAGGGGUCAACUUAACUUGUGCAGCUCUCUUGAUGAGAUUUUGAGUUUUGUUUGAUCAUCACCAUAAUUCGUGCAAGGAUUUUUGGUAAAUAUAGUCGAGGCCACUGGAAUGAAAUGUCUGUCAAUCACAUACCUAAUGUUCUUUGAAAAGGAAAUUGCAGUUUAUAAUAUAUCAUUCUUUAGACUAUGUACAUCUGAAAAUAUGCCUGGAGGCUAACCUAUGCUUUCCU